rnacentral:rRNA from 1 species
GACGAACGCUGGCGGCGUGCUUAACACAUGCAAGUCGAACGAUGAACCCGGAGCUUGCUCCGGUGGAUUAGUGGCGAACGGGUGAGUAACACGUGAGUAACCUGCCCUUGACUCUGGGAUAACUGCGGGAAACUGUAGCUAAUACCGGAUACGACCCUCGGCGGCAUCGCCAGGGGGUGGAAAGAAUUUCGGUCAAGGAUGGACUCGCGGCCUAUCAGCUAGUUGGUGAGGUAACGGCUCACCAAGGCGACGACGGGUAGCCGGCCUGAGAGGGUGACCGGCCACACUGGGACUGAGACACGGCCCAGACUCCUACGGGAGGCAGCAGUGGGGAAUAUUGCACAAUGGGCGCAAGCCUGAUGCAGCAACGCCGCGUGAGGGAUGACGGCCUUCGGGUUGUAAACUGCUUUUAUACAGGAAGAAACGACUCUUGCGAGAGGCAUUGACGGUACUGUAUGAAUAAGCACCGGCUAACUCCGUGCCAGCCGCCGCCGUAAUAC